rnacentral:rRNA from 1 species
UCCUGAUUGAUAAACAUUUGAGUGAGUGGCGGACGGGUGAGUAACACGUGGGUAACCUGCCCUAAAGUGGGGGAUAACAUUUGGAAACAGAUGCUAAUACCGCAUAAAACCUAACACCGCAUGGUGUAGGGUUGAAAGAUGGUUUCGGCUAUCACUUUAGGAUGGACCCGCGGUGCAUUAGUUAGUUGGUGAGGUAAAGGCUCACCAAGACCGUGAUGCAUAGCCGACCUGAGAGGGUAAUCGGCCACACUGGGACUGAGACACGGCCCAGACUCCUACGGGAGGCAGCAGUAGGGAAUCUUCCACAAUGGACGAAAGUCUGAUGGAGCAACGCCGCGUGAGUGAAGAAGGUUUUCGGAUCGUAAAACUCUGUUGUUGGAGAAGAAUGUAUCUGAUAGUAACUGAUCAGGUAGUGACGGUAUCCAACCAGAAAGCCACGGCUAACUACGUGCCAGCAGCCGCGGUAAUACGUAGGUGGCAAGCGUUGUCCGGAUUUAUUGGGCGUAAAGCGAGCGCAGGCGGUUUCUUAAGUCUG